rnacentral:rRNA from 1 species
UACGAACUGUGCGAACGUUAUUCGGAAUCACUGGGCUUACAGGGUGCGUAGGCGGCUUUUCAAGUCAGGUGUGAAAGCCCCCCGGCUCAACCGGGGAAUUGCGCUUGAAACUGGAGAGCUCGAGUCAGCUAGAGGUGCACGGAACUUCCAGUGGAGCGGUGAAAUGUGUUGAUAUUGGAAGGAACACCGGAGGCGAAAGCGGUGCACUGGGGCUGGUCUGACGCUGAGGCACGAAAGCCAGGGUAGCGAACGGG